UUGGUCUAUUAUUUGGUAUGAUGGCAAUUUAAUCCAAUCACAUUUAUCGUCACUGAAAUUAGGUGUAGGAGUCGACCAUCAUCUUACCCUCGUGUUAGAAGCAGCUUCGAAAAGCUCUACGGUUACAACUUAUCAAGUAAACAUGGCGGACAAUGACCCACAAAACAAUGCAGAAGCUGAUCCUGAGGAAGUAGAAACAGAUGUUGAAGAAGGAUCAGAAGAUGCUCCACAAACUGGAUCUACAGACGUUGCUUGUGAAUGGAUGCAAAAUCCUUUUGAAUUGGCUGCUCUGCAAGAUAAGCUAGGCAGUAUUAUUGGUACUCCAUCCACUUAUAUUCAAAGUUUACCUAAAUGUGUUAAGCGGAGAAUAAAAGCCUUAAAGAAACUCCAAUUUGAAACAACUAAAAUUGAAUCUGAUUUCUAUGAAGAGCUUCACUCAUUGGAAUGCAAAUUUGCUGAGAAAUAUGCUCCAUUCUAUGACAAAAGAAAAGAUAUUGUGAAUGCUAAUGUUGAACCCACAGAUGAAGAAUGUGAUUGGUCGAGUGAUGAAGAAUUAGCAGAUGAUAUGCGAAAUAAAGCCGCAGUUGAGGAUAAGCCAGAACAAAAAGAACCUGAGGUUGAGGUUUUAGAUGAAAAUACAAAAGGUAUUCCUCAUUUCUGGUUGACAGUCUUCAAGAAUGUAGAUAUUCUUUCAGAAAUGGUUCAGGAACAUGAUGAACCUAUUCUGCAACAUCUUAUUGAUAUAAAGUGUGUUUUCUCAGAGAAAGACCCAAUGGGUUUCACCUUACAAUUCUACUUUGAACCAAAUGAUUUUAUCAAGAAUAGUGUAUUAACAAAGAAAUAUAUUAUGAAAUCAGAGCCUGAUGUAAAUGAUCCUUUCUCCUUUGAAGGCCCAGAAAUAAUAAAAUGUGUUGGUUGUCCAAUAGAAUGGAAAAAGGGAAAAGAUGUUACUGUGAAAGUGUUGAAGAAAAAACUGAAGCAUAAAGGUAGAGGAACGACAAGGACUGUUACAAAAACUGUAGAAAUUGAUUCCUUUUUCAAUUUCUUCAAUCCUCCUACAGUUCCUGCUGAUGAAUCAGAGCUGGAUGAGAAUGCUGAAACAAUUUUGGCAACAGAUUUUGAAGUUGGGCACUUUAUACGAGAAAGAAUCAUCCCAAAGGCUGUUUUGUAUUUUACUGGCGAAGCAUUGGAAGAUGAUGAAGAUUAUGAAGAGGAGGGUGAUGAAGAGGAGAUAAAUUCUGACUAGCUUUUUCUUCAGUUUUCUACUAUAACAGGUGGGAAGGGUUUUCAUGCAACAAUUGCUUUCACCACUUCAGUAUAUUCAAGAAAUACUUUGUAUGACUAGGAGUGCUGUGGAAAAUAUCUGUAUUAUGUUUACUAUAAAUCAAGAGCUAAGAUUUAUUCUCUUCGCUAUAGCUUUGGGUUUGUUUUUGCAUAUUUGGAUUAUGCCAUCCGUAUGGUACCCUUUCUUACCAAAAGGUGUUUUGUUCUUCAAAUUUUAUGAAUUGACAUCCCUAUAAUUUAACAGUUCAGUUCAGUUACAAUGUUUGUGAUACUAGUUCAUCUUAAUUUUUCUGCUUGUUUCAUCAGAAUUAGUUGUUAUCCAUUGAAGUGCACACUUGAGCAUGAGUGUUAAAAUGUGUUCUUGCUAGGCUUUAUGCAUCCAAGUGAUAAUCCCACUGCUUGACCAUUGGUUUGACAAUUGUAAUUUUCAGACUAUGGUUAAGGGGUACAUUGGUAUCACUUAAGCACAGUUAUUGUUGGAAUAAGAAAUGCAAGUCUAUUGGCAGGCUUUUCCAUUCAGGUUUUAGUUGAACAAGUCUUUUCUGAUAAUCAUUUGACAAUCAAUAAUUAGGGAGUGUUUAUGUUACAUCUUAUUUUCUGAUUCGUUUGAAAUACUUGGGAUAAAAUUGAUUUUAACAUGCUCUGAACCCUUACUGUAUAUGAUACAAAGUUAUGUAUAAUCUUCUAUAUUUCAAUGAACCCAAUUAAAGAAAGAAUAAAAAGUAAAAUAAUACCUUGUUUGACUGGAGUGGCUGAUGGUGUGAUGAUUAGCUGUCUGGUUCUCCAAAUAUUUUCUAAGCAAAAUCUUAUUAGCGGCCCAUUCUGCAAGGCUCACCAAAGAGUUUUCACUAACCUAGCCAAACCCGUAAAUUAUUGUAUGUAUUGUAGUUAAGGGGUAGAACUGCCAAUUUUGUGAGCAAAUCGUUGUUUUUGGUGAAUGCUGUAGAUUCCUAUUAGUAAUACUUUUGAGAGGUACAGGUGGUUUUGAGUUCAAUCCCACUGUCUGACAUCGUGUCUACACCCUUGAGUUGACUAGAGCUUAGUGAGCGGAUUUGGUAUGGAGGGGGUGGGUUGAGUUCAGACAUCCUCUCAUUUGCUGGAUGUAGACCAUAUCCUGCCUGUAUAUGUUCUCUGCUUAGCAAUGUCCAGGCUGUGUUUGAUACACUUGGAGUCCUUGCUUGGAAAUGAGUUUGGUUGACAUCUAACCAUAAAAAAAUUCCUCAACUUACACUUCACUUAUCCGAGUCAUAGAAGCUAGACAUUAAAACACUAAAAGGUUUUCUUAGAAAUGCAAAAGUGGACAUAAAUUUGUGUUAACUGAUAUAGGUUCAACUGCAUGUUUUUGUAGAGUAACUCUCCCUCUAUACAAGUGUGCUUUUGAAGUCACCAUCUCAAGUGAUAAAUUUGUACCUCAUUGAGCCCAACUUACGAGCCCUUUGAAAAAAUUCAAGCAUGCACUGUUGUCCUUAAUGCACGAGUCACUUUAAUCUCAUGACUGCUUUGUUUUUGAGUUUCGUAAGUCAUGGAGAGCAGGUGUGGUGUCCAUUCCAUGGACUGUUUCUCUGUUGAUCAUAAAUCUAGAUGUCAUAUUUCAUGAGAUAGUGUGUGAGGUCUCCACUGCCUUGAAUUAUUUCCAGUAGAUCAGCAAACUUCUACCCCUUAAAUUCCAUGUCAAAUGCUCAAGUAUUCUCUAUAUGCAAGCUUUCCAGUAUUCAGUCUUCUCUUAUGCACUGUGAAGUAGGACCAAGUGUGCAGCAAGCCCACAGUUUGUGGCUUGUCUGUCUUAAUCAAUUUGUCCACUUGCUGGCAGUUCAUUUCAGUGUUCACAGUUGGUUUCCCAUUGUGUAGUUGGUCUUCAAUGCAAGUUUUCUUUCUUUGAACUUUAUCUGUAUACAUGGCUCUCGGUGGUGUCCUCUCUAAACAACCUGUAGCCUUCUAAGGAUGUUGGCCUGCCUGCACCUCUCCUACAUCAAGAACUUUGACUUCACAUUGCUUCUGUUUGGGAUCUAUUAUUUACCUGCAAUGGAGAACAGGAAGAAGCUACAGUACCAACAUGUGCAAUUUGAACAACCAUGAAGGUGACGAGUAUGAUGGAGAAAAUGACCCAGACUAUAAUCCUGAGUCCGAUCAAGGGAAGAAGGACUGUAAGCAACAAUGAACCAGUGUGAGAUGUCAAACUGAAACCAUCAACUUAGAAAAUGGCCAAAGGAACAUUUGACCAAUAAUGGGUCACCACUCUUCAUUCUGCAAUGUCAAAUAUUAUAAAUGGGGAGGGUGGGAAAUUGAGAAGUUUUUUUUCUCAGUUUACAGUGUUGGCAUAUAAAAACUGACCUGUUAAGACUGAUUGAGGUGGGUUACAAUUAACCAGACAUGAAAUAGAAGUUGGUUUUUUUUUUCUUCACCUUACCAAAGAUUAAGAUAUUGUGACCAAGAACACUUCAAGGAAUAUCUUAUUCCUUUAUAAAUUAACUUGAAUUUUCUUGUGCUUAAUCUCUUUCUCAAAGAGAAGAACAUGAGGGAUAAAAGCUGCUUCUAGAAACUGAACAAAAUAAACUUCCAAUGUUGUGCACGUGUGCUUUUCAUGGUCUACUUAUUUGUUUUAUUUUAAUCUUUCUGUCUGUGCACUUGAUUCCUUGGCCAUAGCUACAGGUUUUUAACCAUGUUUAAGUCAAAACAUUGGAAAUUUAUUUUGUGCAAAAAAAAAAGAAAAAAUUUUAAAAAUUGACCCUCUCCAUGCAAUCUUUUCUGGAAUAUUCUUUGAAUAAAGACAUAUUUUGACUUAGUUAACUUU